rnacentral:rRNA from 1 species
AUUGAACGCUGGCGGCAGGCCUAACACAUGCAAGUCGAGCGGAUGAAGGGAGCUUGCUCCUGGAUUCAGCGGCGGACGGGUGAGUAAUGCCUAGGAAUCUGCCUGGUAGUGGGGGAUAACGUCCGGAAACGGGCGCUAAUACCGCAUACGUCCUGAGGGAGAAAGUGGGGGAUCUUCGGACCUCACGCUAUCAGAUGAGCCUAGGUCGGAUUAGCUAGUUGGUGGGGUAAAGGCCUACCAAGGCGACGAUCCGUAACUGGUCUGAGAGGAUGAUCAGUCACAUUGGAACUGAGAAAGGGCCCAAAUUCCUACGGAGGGCAGCAGGGGGAAAUAUGGAAAAAGGGCGAAAGGCUUGACCAGGCCAGGCGGGUGGGUUAAAGAAGGUUUCCGGAUGGUAAAGAACUUAAGUUGGGAGGAAGGGCAGUAAGUUAAUACCUUGCUGUUUUGACGUUACCAACAGAAUAAGCACCGGCUAACUUCGUG